GAAUUUUCCGCAAUGGGCGAAAGCCUGACGGAGCAAGACCGCGUGGGGGAGGAAGGCUCUUGGGUUGUAAACCCCUUUUCUGUGGGAAGAAAAAAAUGACGGUACCAGAGGAAUCAGCAUCGGCUAACUCCGUGCCAGCAGCCGCGGUAAGACGGAGGAUGCAAGCGUUAUCCGGAAUGAUUGGGCGUAAAGCGUCCGCAGGUGGCAACUCAAGUCUGCUGUCAAAGCCCACGGCUUAACUGUGGAAAGGCAGUGGAAACUGAGUAGCUAGAGUGCGGUAGGGGCAGAGGGAAUUCCCAGUGUAGCGGUGAAAUGCGUAGAGAUUGGGAAGAACACCGGUGGCGAAAGCGCUCUGCUAGACCGUAACUGACACUCACAGGACGAAAGCUAGGGGAGCGAAUGGGAUUAGAUACCCCAGUAGUCCUAGCCGUAAACGAUGGAUACUAGGUGUUGCCUGUAUCGACCCGGGCAGUGCCGUAGCUAACGCGUUAAGUAUCCCGCCUGGGGAGUACGCACGCAAGUGUGAAACUCAAAGGAAUUGACGGGGGCCCGCACAAGCGGUGGAGUAUGUGGUUUAAUUCGAUGCAACGCGAAGAACCUUACCAGGCCUUGACAUGUCCGGAAUCAAGGGGAAACCCAUGAGUGCCUUCGGGAGCCGGAACACAGGUGGUGCAUGGCUGUCGUCAGCUCGUGUCGUGAGAUGUUGGGUUAAGUCCCGCAACGAGCGCAACCCUCGUGUUUAGUUGCCAGCAUUAAGUUGGGCACUCUAAAGAGACUGCCGGUGACAAACCGGAGGAAGGUGGGGAUGACGUCAAGUCAGCAUGCCCCUUACGGCCUGGGCGACACACGUACUACAAUGGAGGGGACAAAGGGCAGCCAACCCGCGAGGGCGAGCUAAUCCCGAAAACCCCGCCUCAGUUCAGAUCGCUCUCUGCAACUCGAGAGCGUGAAGGCGGAAUCGCUAGUAAUCGCAGGUCAGCAUACUGCGGUGAAUCCGUUCCCGGGCCUUGUACACACCGCCCGUCACACCAUGGAAGUUGGCCAUGCCCGAAGUCGUUACUCUAACCCUUGUGGAGGAGGACGCCGAAGGCGGGGCUGAUGACUGGGGUGAAGUCGUAACAAGGUAGCCGUACCGGAAGGUGUGGCUGGAUCACCUCCUUUAUAGGGAGACCAACUGAUUGAGACCGAAAAGUAAUCCGGUCAAAAUCAGUCAUCCCAAGGUCGUGCGAGCAAAACUCCAGCUUUCAAACUAUGAGAGGGUUCGGUUUCCGGGCUAUUAGCUCAGUUGGUUAGAGCGCACCCCUGAUAAGGGUGAGGUCUCUGGUUCAAAUCCAGAAUGGCCCACCUGAAAUUAAAAAUUAACACUAGAAGAAGGUGGUUAAUUUUUAAUCACGAGUGGGGGUAUAGCUCAGUUGGUAGAGCGCCUGCUUUGCACGCAGGAAGUCAGCGGUUCGAGUCCGCUUACCUCCACUUUUACAAAGUAUGCCCGAAAAACCGCCCGAGACAACUCAGCACCCAGACCCAUAAC
rnacentral:sRNA from 1 species